UCUGACUUUCAAGGAGGAUACUUUCCCGCCUGCUCCUGAUGUUGUACCCUGUGGAUUCCAAACCUCACAGGGACCGUGACUGCCAUGGUAGCAGGUUUGGAAGCCUGUGCUCGAGCAGCAUGUUUCUGUACACUUCCCAACUCCCCCGUCUAUUGCAACGAUGCCCUACUCACUGAGAAUUUCCACAGGCCCCCGAUGUCAUCGCUCCUCUCAAAGCAGUCCCAGGACUUCCACUGAGGACCUCCACCUGGACAGUUCUGUUGAGCCAUCUCCUGUAGCUCAAAGAACAGAAGACAUUCCCUGCUCCUUCCAGCCACUGACUUGACACAAGGAUACAGCUGGAACGUAGAAGUGGUUGCAGGAGCUGGAGCAAACGUUUUGGACCUGAUGUGGAACACUGUGUGAUGAGAAUGCUGGCACAGAAAAAGAGCUGGCUCUAGUCUACUUAUAUUUGGACUGUUGCAUGAGAGAGAAAUAAAUUAAU